GAAAAUUUAAUAUAAAUCAACAGUUUCAUCGCUAUAUCAUCUAGGCCAUAGUUCCUCCACUAUAAUUCGCGAAUCUCUUUCCUCACGGACCCCCCUAUUCUAUCCGUAUCCUGCGAUACUGAUGAUUCUUCGUUCCCCCGAUGUGACCGAGGCCAAACGUCCUCCUUACCUUGCACUCGCACGUGGUGCACUUGUCAUUGGGAUCCUGCCAGGAGCUGCCACUGUCGUGGAUAAUCCCGGAGUAGCUACAGGGUCGUGGUCUGGUCAGUACAGAGAGGGAAGUGCCAUUUCCAGGCAAUUCUCUCGCGCAGGGAUCAUCUUCGCAACGAGGACAACAAUCCCCAUCCUCUGUCACAGGGUUCGAGCAGGUCACUGGUGGACACUCCAUCUGCCAGCAGUCUAUUUCGCCAUACUCGCUGUUACCAGGCAUUCGCAAGUCUGACACUGGUAUAUCCAUCGUUCGCCACUUCUGAAGACUAGGUGAUGAAGCUCUUGAUGUCUGCAAGAGGCUGCAGGAUCACAUUGCGGACAACAUUUGUCCCUAUGACUUCCAGGGGCGCUGCAGUCGCAUAUAGGGUCUUUGCAUGUGAUAACGCCAUCUUUACAAGUGCAUCUUCUGCAGGGAUUCCCAGCUGGCGCUAGAGUCUCUCCGUUUCUCACCUCUCGAUUCUCGAACCAGCAACCUGUCAAAGAUACAAGCAUUUUUAUUCUAUUUUAAAUAUUUCUCGAGCUCUUCUCAUUGAAAUUCAAUGAACAACGAGUAUUUUGUAUACUUGACAAAAAGUAAACAAUUCUUAAAAGA
rnacentral:misc_RNA from 1 species